UACGGAGGGGGCUAGCGUUGUUCGGAAUUACUGGGCGUAAAGCGCACGUAGGCGGCUUUGUAAGUUAGAGGUGAAAGCCCAGGGCUUAACCCUGGAAUUGCCUUUAAGACUGCAUCGCUAGAAUUGUGGAGAGGUAAGUGGAAUUCCGAGUGUAGAGGUGAAAUUCGUAGAUAUUCGGAAGAACACCAGUGGCGAAGGCGACUUACUGGACACAUAUUGACGCUGAGGUGCGAAAGCGUGGGGAGCAAA
rnacentral:rRNA from 1 species